AUUGAACGCUGGCGACAGGCUAAACACAUGCAAGUCGAACGAGUGGCGGACGGGUGAGUAAUGCUUGGGAAUCUAGCUUAUGGAGGGGGAUAACUACGGGAAACUGUAGCUAAUCCCGCGUACCAUAGGAUGAGCCCAAGUGGGAUUAGGUAGUUGGUGAGGUAAAGGCUCACCAAGCCGACGAUCUCUAGCUGGUCUGAGAGGAUGACCAGCCACACUGGGACCGAGACACGGCCCAGACUCCUACGGGAGGCAGCAGUGGGGAAUAUUGCGCAAUGGGGGCAACCUGACGCAGCCAUGCCGCGUGAAGGAAGAAGGCCUUCGGGUUGUAAAGUGCUUUCGGUAGCGAGGCGUUAAAUACAGAAGAAGCACCGGCUAACUCCGUGCCAGCAGCCGCGGUAAUAC
rnacentral:rRNA from 1 species